rnacentral:rRNA from 1 species
GACGAACCGUACAAACGUUAUUCGGAAUCACUGGGCUUAAAGGGUGCGUAGGCGGCGGCACAAGUUGGGUGUGAAAUCCCUCGGCUCAACCGAGGAACUGCGCUCAAAACUGUGUUGCUUGAGGGAGAUAGAGGUGAGUGGAACUUAGGGUGGAGCGGUGAAAUGCGUUGAUAUCCUAAGGAACACCAGUGGCGAAAGCGACUCACUGGGUCUCUUCUGACGCUGAGGCACGAAAGCUAGGGUAGCGAACGGG